AAUUGUUAGAGCUCUUUUAGAAUUUGUCUAGUAGGUUUUCCAGU
rnacentral:snRNA from 1 species